UACGGGGGGGGCAAGCGUUGUUCGGAAUUACUGGGCGUAAAGGGCUUGUAGGCGGCCAACUAAGUCAAACGUGAAAUCCCUCGGCUUAACCGGGGAACUGCGCUUGAUACUGGAUGGCUUGAGAUUGGGAGAGGGAUGCGGAAUUCCAGGUGUAGCGGUGAAAUGCGUAGAUAUCUGGAGGAACACCGGUGGCGAAGGCGGCAUCCUGGACCAACAUUGACGCUGAGGAGCGAAAGCCAGGGGAGCAAACGGG
rnacentral:rRNA from 1 species